rnacentral:rRNA from 1 species
CAUUACCGAGUGAGGGCCCUCUGGGUCCAACCUCCCACCCGUGUUUAUUUUACCUUGUUGCUUCGGCGGGCCCGCCUUAACUGGCCGCCGGGGGGCUUACGCCCCCGGGCCCGCGCCCGCCGAAGACACCCUCGAACUCUGUCUGAAGAUUGUAGUCUGAGUGAAAAUAUAAAUUAUUUAAAACUUUCAACAACGGAUCUCUUGGUUCCGGCAUCGAUGAAGAACGCAGCGAAAUGCGAUACGUAAUGUGAAUUGCAAAUUCAGUGAAUCAUCGAGUCUUUGAACGCACAUUGCGCCCCCUGGUAUUCCGGGGGGCAUGCCUGUCCGAGCGUCAUUUCUGCCCUCAAGCACGGCUUGUGUGUUGGGCCCCGUCCUCCGAUCCCGGGGGACGGGCCCGAAAGGCAGCGGCGGCACCGCGUCCGGUCCUCGAGCGUAUGGGGCUUUGUCACCCGCUCUGUAGGCCCGGCCGGCGCUUGCCGAUCAACCCAAAUUUUUAUCCAGGUUGACCUCGGAUCAGGUAG